AAAUCCCCCCAAAUACUCUUUAUAUUCCGUUUUCGGUUCUCUGCAUUCUAUUCCUUCUAUGGUACUUCUGCUUCCCUUUCUCAUUCUUUUCCCUUUUUCCACCAGUCAUGCAGUCAUUAUGACUUAUAGGAUGGAAAGCAACGUUUUGGAAAUGAAAUGCAACGCAAACUACGAGCAUGUCGGAAUGCCAUUCUGCAACUUUUUUUUUACGCCAUUCAAGGGAAAAGGUGGAUGAUGAAAAAAUGAUAUCUUGGCAAAAGUAGAAUUCCAGUAUGAGUGUAUUAAUAACGAUAUUAAG